rnacentral:rRNA from 1 species
GAGUUUGAUCCUGGCUCAGGGUGAACGCUGGCGGCGCGCUUAAUGCAUGCAAGUCGAGCGUGAUCGUGGCUUCGGCCACAAUGAUAAAGCGGCAGACGGCUGAGUAACGCGUGAGUAAUCUGCCCUCCGGUGGGGUAUAACCUCGGGAAACUGAGGAUAAUCCCGCAUACGACCUGCAUCCCGUGGGAUGCAGAUGAAAGGCUUCGGUCGCCGGAAGAGGAGCUCGCGUCCUAUCAGGUUGUUGGUGGGGUAAUGGCCCACCAAGCCGAUGACGGGUAGCUGGUCUGAGAGGAUGACCAGCCAGAGGGGGACUGAGAACGGCCCCCACUCCUACGGGAGGCAGCAGCAGGGAAUCUUGGGCAAUGGGCGAAAGCCUGACCCAGCGACGUCGCGUGGGGGACGAAGGCCUUAGGGUUGUAAACCCCUUUUCCGAGGGAAGAUACAGGACGGUACCUCGGGAAUAAGCCCCGGCUAACUACGUGCCAGCAGCCGCGGUAAUACGUAGGGGGCAAGCGUUACCCGGAAUCACUGGGCGUAAAGUGCGCGUAGGCGGUUGGAUAAGUCUCUUGUGAAAGCUCCCGGCUCAACUGGGAGAGGUCAAGGGAUACUAUUCGACUUGAGGACAGCAGAGGUAAGCAGAAUUCCCGGUGUAGCGGUGGAAUGCGUAGAUAUCGGGAGGAACACCAGUGGCGAAAGCGGCUUACUGGGCUGUAUCUGACGCUGAGGCGCGAGAGCGUGGGGAGCAAACUGGAUUAGAUACCCUGGUAGUC